rnacentral:pre_miRNA from 1 species
UCUUAUGAAUGAGCAAAGAAAGUGGUUUUUUGAGAUGGGAUCUGCUUCUGGUGGAGAUGCUGUGAA